UAGGGAAUAUUAGAAAUGGACGCAAGUCUGAUCUAGCAACACCGCGUGUGCGAUGAAGGCCUUCGGGUCGUAAAGCACUUUUUGAAGGAAUAGGAAGGAAUGUACUUCCAGAAUAAGUCUCGGCUAACUACGUGCCAGCAGCCGCGGUAACACGUAGGAGGCAAACGUUAUCCGGAUUUACUGGGCGUAAAGCGCGUGUAGGUGGUACUGUAAGUAGGGCGUGAAAGCUCCUGGCUCAACUGGGAGAGGCCGUUCUAAACUACAGAACUAGAGGAUGGUAGAGGGAGGUGGAAUUCCAGGUGUAGCGGUGGAAUGCGCAGAUAUCUGGAGGAACACCGGUGGCGAAGGCGGCCUCCUGGACCAUUCCUGACACUCAGACGCGAAAGCUAGGGUAGCAAACGG
rnacentral:rRNA from 1 species